UUGAACGCUGGCGGCAGGCCUAACACAUGCAAGUCGCGCGGAUGAAGGGAGCUUGCUCCUGGAUUCAGCGGCGGACGGGUGAGUAAUGCCUAGGAAUCUGCCUGGUAGUGGGGGAUAACGUCCGGAAACGGGCGCUAAUACCGCAUACGUCCUGAGGGUGAAAGUGGGGGAUCUUCGGACCUCACGCUCUCAGAUGAGCCUAGGUCGGAUUAGCUAGUUGGUGGGGUAAAGGCCUACCAAGGCGACGAUCCGUAACUGGUCUGAGAGGAUGAUCAGUCACACUGGAACUGAGACACGGUCCAGACUCCUACGGGAGGCAGCAGUGGGGAAUAUUGGACAAUGGGCGAAAGCCUGAUCCAGCCAUGCCGCGUGUGUGAAGAAGGUCUUCGGAUUGUAAAGCACUUUAAGUUGGGAGGAAGGGCAGUAAGUUAAUACCUUGCUGUUUUGACGUUACCAACAGAAUAAGCACCGGCUAACUUCGUG
rnacentral:rRNA from 1 species